UGGCGCACGGGUGAGUAACACGUGAGUAACCUGCCCCCGAGAGCGGGAUAGCCCUGGGAAACUGGGAUUAAUACCGCAUAGUAUCGAAAGAUUAAAGCAGCAAUGCGCUUGGGGAUGGGCUCGCGGCCUAUUAGUUAGUUGGUGAGGUAACGGCUCACCAAGGCGAUGACGGGUAGCCGGUCUGAGAGGAUGUCCGGCCACACUGGAACUGAGACACGGUCCAGACACCUACGGAAGGCAGCAG
rnacentral:rRNA from 1 species